rnacentral:tRNA from 1 species
UGGCUCAGUGGCAGAGCGCUUGUCUUGCAUGCAUGAGGCCCUGAGUUCGAUUCCUCAG